AAAGACACAGGGUGUUUUCUGGAGAGCGGGGUUCACAACGGCGAUCACGAGUUAUCGUCAGGCGACUGGGGUUCAACUGGAGAUCGGGGUCCAUUGUUUGGCAACAAGAGUAAUAUGAAGUUGUCGGGGUUCAAAUGCGGUGAUCAGGGAUCAUACGCGCGAAAAUAAUUGUUCGGGGUCCAAGAAAAAGCAAAAAAAAAUCAAUCAAAG
rnacentral:lncRNA from 1 species